rnacentral:rRNA from 1 species
CCCUUAGAUGUUCUGGGCUGCACGCGCGCUACACUGAAGCGUUCAAUGAGUAUUCACCUUGCCCGGGAGGGUUGGGUAAUCUUUUGAAAACGCUUCGUGAUGGGGAUAGAUUAUUGCAAUUAUUAAUCUUCAACGAGGAAUUCCUAGUAAGCGCGAGUCAUCAGCUCGUGCUGAUUACGUCCCUGCCCUUUGUACACACCGCCCGUCGCUCCUACCGAUUGAGUGCUCAGGUGAAUAAUUCGGACUGCAGCAGUGUUUGGAUCCCGAACGCUGCAGCGGAAAGUUUAGUGAACCUUAUCACUUAGAGGAAGGAGAANUCGUAACA